UCUUUCUUCCUCAACCUCCUCUGCUCCCUCCUGCUCCUUUGCCCAGGCCCCUCUCGGCCUCUGCUCAAUGGAGUGGCCGACGAGCGAGGAUUGAUGCCCGCUACUGAAUUCCCUGAAUUCCUUCUCGUUCCUCUAUUUUUCCCCCGAUCAAUUGACGCCCUAAUCUCCCUGAUUUUGAGCCUGUGUUGUUGGAUCGCAGGUCCUGGUCGCAGCCGUGCAGCUAGACGGCGCACACCGGAGCUCGGGGUACGCAGCCGCGGCGGAGCUGCUCCGGCGUAGACCCGCGGCCUGGUGCUCUACUGCCACUCCUGCGCUUUCCCCAUUACUCCCGUUCCCCAAGUCGAACUGCGGAUACUCGCAAUCUUUGGCCAGCUUUCUCCAUCGGGUGUUUGGCAGCUCUCCUUCAAGCGCUCACAACGCCGAACACAUAUAUGUUGAAGGGAGGAUGGUAGAUCAGGUACCGCAGGGAUGAGAAAUUUGCAGAUUCUUCGAAUGAAACAGAUGGCUCCUUGCAAUUAAUAAGAUUGAGGAAUUCUGGAACUGUAAAACCUUUAGCCGAGAGCAUGUGGUUGAGUAUCACAGGACUGCUAACACUGAGUGAUUUCUGCACCCGAAACUGUGAGAUGCACUUCGCUUUGAGCUUCGGGACAUCUUUUAAAUAUACGCUGUGAAGUUGCAGGAAAGACAGUCCUUCAAUAAAGCACAGAUCAGGGAGAUCUACUAGUCUUAAUGAUGCAAGGGAGGUCAGAUGACCAAUUGACAAGGAUGCAAGGCCUCCACAGCCACCCAUGUCAAGAUCUCAGGUGCGGUAGACCACUACUGAAGAAAUUAGCUCCAACCACGCACCGGGAUGUAAUGAGCAUCGUAAGUGAUAAUGGCAUUUCAUCUGCUCCACGUGCCAAGUCUAGAGAAGGGCAGGAGUAAAAUCUGACAUCCAAAAGAGAGGUAGCAGCUCGUAAACCCCCUAAUGACCUGAGACACCAGCAAGACUCGAUGCACAGGUAGCGAAGCUCUGUCAAAUGUUGGAGGACCUCUUGAGAUGGAAGUGUAGUCAAAGUCAUGAUCUUAUCUAAGGUCAGCAUUCUCAGAGAAGUGAGAGUAUUAAGGCAAACAACUAAUGCCCCAUCUGUAAUACUGCAUGAAUAAAGAUGAAGUUGGGUAA